rnacentral:lncRNA from 14 species
CAGCCCCGGAGGACUGGAGUCUGGUGAAUGUCUGCAGUGCUGUCUGAAACUCAGGGGUGAAACCGUGCUUGGUGGGAAAGAGCAGCAGCUCUGCGGGAGAGAAAUGCUCAAGGGAGAGGGUGUACCCAGAGAACAGCGAUGGAAGCAUGUGUGAGGCAGCAGCUGCGGAAACAGGCAGCAGGGAGGUGAGCCUAAAUGCAAACAUGACCCUGAAAGGACACAGAGAUAGGGGAAGAAGACAAAAGGACAAGCAGUUAUUUGCUUAUCUAAAGACCUGCUCCAAGAUUUCUUUCACUCCCAGGUUUUUAGCUUGAACCAGAACUGCUAGAGGGAAACUCAGCUGAAUAAAAUGAAGGAGACCCUCCA